UCCCGAGCGUUNUCCGGAUUUAUUGGGCGUAAAGCGAGCGCNGGCGGUUAGAUAAGUCUGAAGUUAAAGGCUGUGGCUUAACCAUAGUACGCUUUGGAAACUGUUUAACUUGAGUGCAAGAGGGGAGAGUGGAAUUCCAUGUGUAGCGGUGAAAUGCGUAGAUAUAUGGAGGAACACCGGUGGCGAAAGCGGCUCUCUGGCUUGUAACUGACGCUGAGGCUCGAAAGCGUGGGGAGCAAACAGGAUUAGAUACCCUGGUAGUCCACGCCGUAAACGAUGAGUGCUAGGUGUUAGACCCUUUCCGGGGUUUAGUGCCGCAGCUAACGCAUUAAGCACUCCGCCUGGGGAGUACGACCGCAAGGUUGAAACUCAAAGGAAUUGACGGGGGCCCGCACAAGCGGUGGAGCAUGUGGCUUAAUUCGAAGCAACGCGAAGAACCUUACCAGGUCUUGACAUCCCUCUGACCGCUCUAGAGAUAGAGUUUUCCUUCGGGACAGAGGUGACAGGUGGUGCAUGGUUGUCGUCAGCUCGUGUCGUGAGAUGUUGGGUUAAGUCCCGCAGCGAGCGCAACCCCUAUUGUUAGUUGCCAUCAUUCAGUUGGGCACUCUAGCGAGACUGCCGGUAAUAAACCGGAGGAAGGUGGGGAUGACGUCAAAUCAUCAUGCCCCUUAUGACCUGGGCUACACACGUGCUACAAUGGCUGGUACAACGAGUCGCAAGCCGGUGACGGCAAGCUAAUCUCUUAAAGCCAGUCUCAGUUCGGAUUGUAGGCUGCAACUCGCCUACAUGAAGUCGGAAUCGCUACUAAUCGCGGAUCAGCACGCCGCGGUGAAUACGUUCCCGGGCCUUGUACACACCGCCCGUCACACCACGAGAGUUUGUAACACCCGAAG
rnacentral:rRNA from 1 species